rnacentral:rRNA from 1 species
UGAGGAAUAUUGGUCAAUGGNCGNNNNNNUGAACCAGCCAAGUAGCGUGCAGGAUGACGGCCCUAUGGGUUGUAAACUGCUUUUGUAUGGGGAUAAAGUCAAUCACGUGUGAUUGUUUGCAGGUACCAUACGAAUAAGGACCGGCUAAUUCCGUGCCAGCAGCCGCGGUAAUACGGAAGNUNCGGGCGUUAUCCGGAUUUAUUGGGUUUAAAGGGAGCGUAGGCCGGAGAUUAAGUGUGUUGUGAAAUGUAGACGCUCAACGUCUGACUUGCAGCGCAUACUGGUUUCCUUGAGUACGCACAACGUUGGCGGAAUUCGUCGUGUAGCGGUGAAAUGCUUAGAUAUGACGAAGAACUCCGAUUGCGAAGGCAGCUGACGGGAGCGCAACUGACGCUUAAGCUCGAAGGUGCGGGUAUCGAACAGGAUUAGAUACCCUGGUAGUCCGCACAGUAAACGAUGGAUGCCCGCUGUUGGUACCUGGUAUCAGCGGCUAAGCGAAAGCAUUAAGCAUCCCACCUGGGGAGUACGCCGGCAACGGUG